CAGCAGGACAAAGAAAGUUUCAUUCAUUCAUUAGAUAUUGCUUCCAUCAAAAGUUACAAAACCCUAAUCCAGAUUUCGGUUCUAAGGAAAAGAGAAGAGAGAGAGAAAAAUCACACGAAUCGAGUAUUCAUCAUACACAUUUAUGGCAGGAUCUGCUCCAACAUAUACGGGUCAGUUUGACCAGAUGUUAAACGAAGAGUACGAAGUACUCGAAGAGGGAGAUGACAAUGAUGAUGAUGAGUUCUUCAUCUCGUAUGAUGAGGUCCAUGAGAGCUUUGAUGCCAUGGGCUUGCAAGAUAAUCUUCUUAAGGGUAUCUAUGCUUACGGUUUGGAAAAGCCUUGUCCUGUUCAGAAAAGAGGAAUUGUACCCUUUUCCAAGGGUCUUGAUGUUAUCCACCAGGCACAGUCCGGUACUGCUAAAACCGCCAGUUUCGGCUCUGGCAUCUUGCAGCAGCUUGAUUAUAACCUUGUCCAGUGCCAGGCUCUCGUUUUGGCUCCCACCAGAGAGCUUUCUCAGCAGAUUGAGAAGGUCAUGCGCGCCCUUGGUGAAUACCUUGGCGUCAAGGUUCACGCCAUUCUUGGUGGAGGUAGAGGCCGUGACGAUCAGAACAUUGUCAAGGCUGGUGUUCAUGUUUUGGUUGGAACUCCUGGUCGUGUGUUUGACAUGUUUCGAAGAGAAACUCUUCAUUCUGACUUCAUUACGAUGUUUGUCCUUGAUGAAGCUGAUGAAAUGCUCUCCCGUGGUUACAGGGAUCAGAUCUAUGACAUAUUCCAGCUUCUCCCACCUAAGAUGCAGGUUGGAGUAUUCUCAGAAACGAUGCCACCAGAAGCUCUUAAUAUCACAAGGAAAUUCAUGAGCAAACCAGUGAUGAGAAUCUUGGUGAAACGUGACAAGCUCACACUUGAAGGUAUCAAGCAAUUCUACGUGAACGUGGAGAAAGAAGAGUGGAAGCUCGAGACUCUCUGCGAACUUUUUGAGACUAUACCUGUCACUCAGAUUGUCACCUUCGUUAACAGUCGUCGUAAGGUUGAGUGGCUCACAGAAACAAUGAGAAGGCGUGACCACACAGUCUCAGCAACUCAUAAAGACAUGGACCAAAACACAAGAGACAUCAUAAUGAGAGAAUUCAGGUCUGCAGCUGGUGUUCUAGUCACAACCGAUAUCUUGGAUGAUGGUAUUGAUGUGAUGCAGCAAGUCUCUGUGGUCAUAAAUUAUGACCUCCCAGCUCAGCCGGAGGCUUACCUUCACCGUAUUGGAAGAAACACUGGAACGUUCGAGAGAAAGAUUGUUGCAAUUAACUUUGUCACUGUUGACGAUGAAAGAAUGCUGUUUGAUAUUCAGAAAUUCUACAAUGUGGAGGUUGAGGAGCUGCCAGAUAACUUCACUGAUUUGCUGUGAAGAAGAAGAAAGGCUACUUGUUUGCAUCUCUAGGCUCUUGCUAUGUUUUGCAUUUCCUUCUUUUUUUCCAGAUGCACUAUCAAGAGCUCAAGUUGGAGCACCACAAGCAUAUAAAAGUUGUCACUGCCUCUAGCUUUAACUUGAGGUUAUGUCCUGCAAUAAGGUGUUUAGGUGGACCUCUGUUUUCUGGCUGAGACAAAACAUCAGUGAACUCCACAUAGAAGAAUCAGGGACAAUACUCUUCUCCACCAUUCGUGAGAAAGUUAACCAAGCCUUCUGAAUAUCACCCUUCACACACAAUUCUUCGAGCAAGUGAUUGUAUUUUUCUCUAUCAGGAACAUAACCUAUCGCAGCCAUGUCCUGUACAAAUUUGCUACCAUCCACUAUCCAUCAUCUCCCUUGUGAAAAACUCUCUAGCAAUGUCAAUGUCUUCCUUGACCAAAACAUCCAAAAUCGAAUUGAAAA